rnacentral:rRNA from 1 species
GUAGGUGGCAAGCGUUGUCCGGAAUUAUUGGGCGUAAAGCGCGCGCAGGCGGUUCUUUAAGUCUGAUGUGAAAGCCCACGGCUCAACCGUGGAGGGUCAUUGGAAACUGGAGAACUUGAGUACAGAAGAGGAAAGCGGAAUUCCACGUGUAGCGGUGAAAUGCGUAGAGAUGUGGAGGAACACCAGUGGCGAAGGCGGCUUUCUGGUCUGUAACUGACGCUGAGGCGCGAAAGCGUGGGGAGCAAACAGGAUUAGAUACCCUGGUAGUCCACGUCGUAAACGAUGAGUGCUAAGUGUUAGGGGGUUUCCGCCCCCCUUAGUGCUGCAGCUAACGCGUUAAGCACUCCGCCUGGGGAGUACGGCCGCAAGGCUG